GACGAACGCUUGCGGCGUGCCUAAGAAAUGCAAGUCGAGCGAGGUUGAGGCUUCGGCCAAAAACCUAGCGGCGAACGGUCGCGUAACACGUAAGCAACCUGCCCUAAAGUGGGGGAUAGCCCUCCGAAAGGAGGAUUAAUACCGCAUGUGGAUGGUUUCUCGCAUGGGAGACUAUCUAAAGCAGCAAUGCGCUUUAGGAUGGGCUUGCGGCCUAUCAGCUAGUUGGUGUGGGUAACGGCUCACCAAGGCGACGACGGGUAGCUGGUCUGAGAGGAUGGUCAGCCGGACUGGGACUGAGAUACGGCCCAGACUCCUACGGGGGCAGCAAUUAGGAAUCUUGCGCAAUGGGCGAAAGCCUGACGCAGCGACGCCGCGUGACUGAUGAAGUCUUUCGGGAUGUAAAGGUCUUUUGCAGGGGACGAAGGAAGUGACGGUACCCUGCGAAUAAGCCCCGGCUAACUACGUGC
rnacentral:rRNA from 1 species